CGCGAAGAACCUUACCAGGUCUUGACAUCCUUUGACCACCCUAGAGAUAGGGCUUUCCCUUCGGGGACAAAGUGACAGGUGGUGCAUGGUUGUCGUCAGCUCGUGUCGUGAGAUGUUGGGUUAAGUCCCGCAACGAGCGCAACCCCUAUUAUUAGUUGCCAGCAUUCAGUUGGGCACUCUAAUGAGACUGCCGGUGACAAACCGGAGGAAGGUGGGGAUGACGUCAAAUCAGCAUGCCCCUUAUGACUUGGGCUACACACGUGCUACAAUGGAUGGUACAACGAGUCGCAAACCCGCGAGGGCAAGCAAAUCUCUUAAAGCCAUUCUCAGUUCGGAUUGCAGGCUGCAACUCGCCUGCAUGAAGCCGGAAUCGCUAGUAAUCGUGGAUCAGCACGCCACGGUGAAUACGUUCCCGGGUCUUGUACACACC
rnacentral:rRNA from 1 species